UACGUAGGGUGCAAGCGUUGUCCGGAAUUAUUGGGCGUAAAGAGCUCGUAGGCGGUUUGUUGCGUCGGCUGUGAAAUCCCGAGGCUCAACCUCGGGUCUGCAGUCGAUACGAGCAAACUAGAGUGUUGCAGGGGAGACUGGAAUUCCUGGUGUAGCGGUGAAAUGCGCAGAUAUCAGGAGGAACACCGGUGGCGAAGGCGGGUCUCUGUGCAACAACUGACGCUGAGGAGCGAAAGCGUGGGGAGCGAACAGG
rnacentral:rRNA from 1 species